AAUAAAUAUUAUAAGUCAAGUUGCAUAUAUGAUUUUAAUUUUUAUCGGGAAAAUUUUACUUUUAUACUUUCUUUGGUACCACUUUUCAUAUAUACACAUAGAAGGAAGAUAUUUUCAGAAAUAUCUAAAUUAUUAAUAGAAAAAAAUACAAAAAUAACCCUCUCACAAUUCUAAACUUAUUUUCUAUCUCUUUCUUUCUCGAGAGAAAGCUUUGACAGACGAGAUCGAGCGACGGUGACGGAAAUGCGACGGCGACGGAAACGCGACGGCGAUGGCGACGAGAUCGAGCGACGUUGACGGCAACGAGAUCGAGACUCAAAACCUCAAAACGUUGAAUCCUCAGAAAGAAUCACAAGUUCUUUCGGAGUGGAAAUUAGUACUCUUUUACUCAAGUUGGAGAUGAUUUCAAAUUGGGGCGUUGGAUCAGCUUUUAUUCUUUUCUUUCACAUGUUCCCGACACUCAUGGAAGAAGCAUGUGUUCAAGCUUAUAUGAGAGCCACAACCCUGCCAGCACAUAUUUGCUUCGAUCUACAAUGAUUGCAGAGUCUGUUCCCUUUAGCAGUGAUAAAGACGCAAGUGAAGGCUCCACCUCAGCUGUAGAAAACAGUGAGGUGUUGUUAGAGUGUCGAUGGUAAGCCAUGGAUUUGUUUAGAACCUUAUUUACUUCAUGAGAAAAUCCCGUGGUCACGAAUGUGCUUGUACGUGACAUUUGGGUCUUUGAGAAGUCUCUAUUCCACACAGGAGCUUGCUGGCGUCUCUGUGGCCGUAUUGAAUUUCCUUCAAAGGAUAAAAUCCAACCUGCCCUCUGAUUUUUUUUUGCUGAGUUAGUAUCUUUACACAAUUUACAGUCUUCUAGUCUGUGUUGCAACUAAAGGAUGAAUGUUGUCUGAUUAGGUUCUAGAUAAUCUUAUAAACAAUUUAUAAAGACUUAUAAAACAAUUUGUAAAGUAUAUAAAUAAUUUAUAAAUGCUUAUGAAAACGUUAAAGUCUAUACAAUUUAUAAGGUUUAUAUAGGUUUACGAAUCAAUUAGAAAAUCCCUAAAUCAUUCAUAAGAAUCUAUAACCAUUUAGAAAGGCUUAUAAAACAAUUUAUAAGGUUUACAAGAAUAUGUAAGUAAUCAAUAAGAAUUUAUAAGAGUUUGUAAAUAUUUUAUAAAGUUUAUAAAAAACAGUUUAUGAAGUUUGUAAAUCAUCUAUAAAGUUUGUAAAUCAUUUAUAAAUGUUUAUAAAUUAUUUGUAAGAGUAUAUAAACCAUUUAUAAAGGCUUAUAAAGAAGUUUAUAAAGUCUAUAAACCGUUUAUAAAUAUUUAUAAAAGAAAUCAGUUAGAAGAUUUUUAAAUCAUUUAUAAGAGUCUAUAACCAAGAAAGGCUUACAAGACAAUUUAUAAGGUUUGUAAAAUAAUUUAUAAAGUUUAAUUAUAAAGGUAUGUAAAUAAUUUAUAAGGGUUUAUAAAACGUUUAUAAAAGUUCAUAAUCGGUAUAUAAAUUGGUUAAAAACAAAUAAUAAUUUAUAGAAACUAGAGCAAAUAGAUUUUAAAAAUUGGUUUAUAAUUUUUGUUUAUAAAAGUUCAUAAUCGGUAUAACAAGUAUAUCAUUUAUAAGAGUUUAUAAGUAAUCAUUAUAAGAGAUAUAUGUACCGUUUAUAAGAGUCUAAAUUCAUUUAUAAAAUUAUAAACUAUUUAUAAAGUUUAUUAGUCACUUAUAAGGUUUUAUAAAAUUUUAUAAUUUAAUUACAAGAGUCCACAAAUCCUUUUAUAAAGUUUUAUAAUGCUUCGUAUAUAAAUCAGUUACAAGAGUUCAUAAAUCAUCAUUUUAUAAGAGCUUGUAAUGUAAGAGUUUAUAAAAUGUAUAAGUCCUUAUAAAUCAUUUUUUAAGUGCUAAAAAAUACUUUUGUAAAGGUUGUUAAAUAAUUUAUUAUCAGUUACAAAAGUGUAUAGAUCAUUUUAAAUAACUCCAACAUUCACUACUCCAAAACUUUGAUAUAAGGGUAUAAAAUUUAAUAUAUUUUAUAAGGCCUUGUAAAUUUUAAUGUAUAAAGCUUAAAAUUAUUGUUUCUAAAUAAUUUGUUUACAGAUUACAUCGCCUAUAAAUAAUUAUUCGCAAGAGAUGAUUAAAACAAUUAUAAGCAUUAUCUAUGGAUUCAUAAACAAUAAUGUAUUAGAAUUUAUUAAACAUCACUUAUAAACCUUCGUAAAACUCAGAUAUACUAGUUUAUAAAGUAUUAUAUAAACUCAUAGAUGAAAUUUAAACACAAAAAAUGAUAUGUAAAGGCUGAUAAAUAACUUAUAACCCCUUAUAUAUCUUAUAAUAAGAUUUUAGAAAGCAUUAUGAAAAUUAAUGAUAAAAAGUUUAAAAAGUAAAAUCGGUGAUAUAAAUACAUGAAGAUGCUUGUUACUAAUUUUUUUAAAAAAGAAACUAGAGUAAAUGUAAAGUACAAAUGAUUUACAACUUACAAUCACUUAUAAGAACACGUGUUACACAUAUAUAUUACAGAAAGACAUGUGUUUUGUUUCUCUUAUAUGUGUCAAGAACAUAUAUAUUACAUAUAAAAACACGUAUCUUCGCUCUCUUUCUGCAACUCCAAUCUUCUUGAACAUUGUGUUUCUCUCUGAAAACAUAAAAACAUAAGGCUAAAUAUAUAUAUUGUUUUACAGUUUCUUUAAUAAGGCCUUAUAAAUAUAAAAGUUGUAAUAAAUACCUCAAGGGGGUUACUAUUUCCAGCAAUAUGCAAAUCAUGAGUAAUUAAAACUUCAUCUCAUGUCUGAAUCGUAUUUGACACAAUCCUUGAUGAUAAAUGAGUUCUUCUCUGAAACAUUAACAAAAAACAUAAAGCUAAUAGUGAAUCUCCAAAUGACAUCAUUAUAUUUAUAAGGUUUUAUAAAUGUAAAAGUUGUAAUAAGUAUUGCUAUGGCAUACUUCCAGCAAUAAGCAAAUCUUGAGUACUACAUACUAUCUUGUAAAAUAACUAACUGAUAACUAUCAUAAACGAAAACCUUAACAAGGAGUUCGAUAUUGUUACCUUAAUUGUUACACAUAGAUGAAUGCCUCCAUUCUCUUGAAGUUUGUUCAGAUAUGAUGUUACUUGACAAUCAUUCCUAAUAAAUACCAGAGGAAGCUCUUUGAACUAAAGUUUAACUUUGAAGAUGAGACAUAGCUAAGAUUUAUACUGUUUAACUUGGAAGGUGAGACAUCGAUUCCAAAAUCUUCUAAAACAACCCCAAUCAAAUCAUUGUAGCUGAUAUCUUCAAAAAUCAUACUAAUAGAAGAUCCCCUUUCAUCAUCGACUAUGAAAUCCCAAUGAAUUCCAUUUAUUAGUUUCCAUUCUCCACGUAUAGAACACAAUUCGAUCGUCAUAAUUCUAAUUAUAAGAACAUGGGGAUUAGAGAAGGAAUGAUCAACAAGAUAUAUCAAAAAAAAAAAAACAUAACACUAUGUUCUUCAUCGAUAAAAAUUUAUAAGGUUUUAUAAAUCUGAGAUUUGAACAUUUCAUGAGAAAAUUUUUGUCUCCUUCCCAAAAACCGAUCGAUCUUGAGAAACCAGGCAAAAAUUACAGAAAAGAGACAAAAAUCACUAUCUAUUAUCCUCUGACCUUUUUUAUGCGUUCGUGAAGAGAUAUUGUUAUGUUCGUUUGAGCUUGUAGUCUUCGCCAAAUCUCGUCGGACGUCAACGUCGUCGGAAUCGUCAAAUCUCGCCGGGGUAAUCGCUGGAGUCAUCAAAUCUCGCCGGAAUCGUCGAAUCUCUCGUUGAAGCCGUCGAUCUAUUUGGAGAUUUUUAAAAUUCUUGUUGGAGAAGACAUAUGUUUAUGUUUGAGUAGAUAAGGAUAUAAUGUUACAUUACCUAUUAAAAUUUUAAUGGUAAAAUUGGUUAGUGUAAAGUUGAAAAGUGUUAUUAGUGGCAAUUCUCCAUUUUUAUCUUAUAUAUAUUUUUCUCAUAAUUGUAUCUUAUUUGCAGGUAUUCUCUUCCAAUAUUGUCAAAUCAUCUUCCCAAAAAUGUAAGAUUUACAUCUAUUCAUUUUAAAUAUGAAUUUUUGUGUUUAUAUUGAACGAAAUUUAUAGAUUCAAACUUUAUGUUUUUACUUUGCUACUAUUUUAGGUUAAAAGACUAUUUUGAAAUCUUUGCGAGAACAAACUAUUUUCAGAUUUUCUAAAUUUACAUUUUAAAAUUUUCUGUUAGUGUGGAAAAACAAUAAAGUCUACUAUAAAAUUAAGGUUAGUAGACUUCGACUAAAGUCUACUAAACCAUAAACAUUAAGUAUACAUUAUAAGAAGUCUACUAAAAUAUGAUUUAAAUUUUAUAUCUUAUUUUUUUCUCAUAAUUUUAUCUUAUUUUUCAGGUACUCUUUUCUAAGAUUUCAUUUAAAGCACCGAGAUUAUGAAUAGUCAAAAACACUCUUGAACUUUUUAAUUAAUUGCUUUGUAAUCAUUUAUCAUUAUAAUAUAUUAAUUUGUAGAUAAUUCUUUGAUGCAUAAUCUAUAAACAUUGUAUUCAUUUUUAGUUGUGUUUCACUUGUAUGAUAUUAUUAAUUUUUGUUAACUAUUUAUUUUUCAAAGAUACUCUAUAAUCAACCAAACAAUUAAAACCACCAUAAACUUAAACAAUAACUAACACACAUGUGAGAAGAAGAAAAUCUAUACAAAGUAUCAUCAAGACAUCAUCCUUUGUUUUCUUUUAGAGAUUUUCAAGACAUCAUCCUUUGCAUUAGUAUUAGUCUUCUUUAAGAGAUUUUCAACACAUUGAACAAAUACUUCAACUCCAAGACAACACAGAGACUCACAUAUGAGUCUUCUUUUACAUAAGACUACUAAAGAAGUCUACUUUCUGUCAAGCAGACUAAUAUGUAAGUCUACACAACAGAAAUCAAAUGUGUAAUAUAAAACUCCAAGAUAUAAAAAGUAAGACCUACAAAUUAACAUCAGUUUAUCACAUAAGACAACAUCCAAAACAACAAUACAAUUCAUAAAUUCCACACAUAAGACAACUCAUAGAUUCAACACAUAAGACAACAUUGAAAGCAGUAAGACAACUCAUAAGUUCAACACAUAAUACUAACACAUGUUUAGCUUGGAAAAUUUACAUAAUUAGAGAAUAAAUAUUGAAUGUUUGAUAAAAUUAUAAUUGUAGACUUACAAAUACGUUUACACGUAUUAACUAACAACAUAGUUAAAUCAAAAUUUUGAUAGUUUCAUAAUUAUAACAGAUUUUCUUUUCAAAAUCGCUCAAGAUCAUUAGGAUUAAUUAACACACACACCGUCAAACAAAAAAUCUUGAAAAACUUAAAUUAAUAAUACACAAAUUCACUUUAAAUAUACUAGAUUUUUUCUCCGCGCUACGCGCGGAUUAUGUCUUUUAAAUUUACGUUUAAAUAACUUUCAUACAUUUAAAAAUAUUAAGUAUGUGCAAUUGAAAAGAGUUGAAAGAUCAUAUUUAUGUAUUGUGUCUUUCAAGCAACUUAAUUUUUGGAAAAACAAUUUUCUAAAAGUCGGAUCCUAAACCAAAUACCAUAUGAUACUUUAGAAUAUUUAAUAAGUCAGCAAACAACAUUACUGAAUAAAAUAUUAUCUGUAAUCUAUAUGAAUUUUAAAACAUGUUUUAUUAAUAUGAGUUGUAUCCAUCCUCACUCCAUGGUAGCCACUCCUAAAUUGAUCUUCGAAUAUAUAGAACCUCUAAACUUAUCCAUCAUGUCCUCCAUUAGCUAAAUUGAUAUUUAAAUUAUUUUUUCAAAAAACGUUUAUUAGUUUAACUAUUUAAUGGAAUAUUGUUGAUUUAAAAUUAUAUAUAAAUACUUUUAAUAGAAUAUAGCCUCAAGUUUUAAAAUCAUAUAUGUUUUCAGUUCAUGUAGUCUAUAUUCUUCAGCAUUUUAAGACAUAUAUUCUGUUAAUUAUAUUACAUCAUGAAUUUUCAAAUUUGUAGUAUAUAUAGUUUAAAAAAUAUUGUUAUAUUAAGUGAAUUUAUUUCAAGGAUUUUUUAUUUGUUAAUGUACCUUAUUAUAUUGAUACAUAAUUACAAUUUUUUUUAUUAAUUUUCAUUUUUGAAAUUUUGAUAUUUUAAAAUUUUUAAUAGAUACUGAUUAUAUAUUUUUUAUUGAUAAUUUUAAAUUCUAUGUGAAAACGUCCCUAGUCAUAUAGCCUCAACUUAAGGAAAUGUUUGUAGCUAAUAGUUUAAAGUGUUGGGAAAUCAUAUUUUUUUAGAAAAUAUUGCAUUUUUGGGAAUUUAUUAUUUUUGUUAGUAAAGGGUUUAUGUUAAUUUUAUAAAACAAUUUAUAGAUCUCAAGUCAAUUUUUAAUAUUCUUUCUUUUGUUUGAUUACCUUGUUUUAUAUGAGAUAUAUUUUAUUUCUAAAUAAUUCUUUUUUUUUGAAAUUUUUUGACAUUUUUAAGAUAUUAAAUUAUAAUGUUGAUUUGACAUAUUUUGAUUGAUGGUGUUAAAUCGCAUAUGGACAUUUUUUUUACUUGUAUGUUUAAUUUCUAUAGAGUAUAUAUUAUGUAUUGCUAUUUGCUACAGAUGGCGAUAGAGUUUUUCAUAUUUUAAACUAAGCUGCAUCAUUAUCUGAAUUCUGCAGAGGAAGAAUAAUUGACUAUAUAUUAGAUACUCCUCAUAUGACUGUUUACAAUAUAAAAUAGCAGUGAUGGAGGAAGAAGAAUUGACUGUCAAACAGCAGAGGUAAUGUCAUGAGGAAUACCAUAUUGUUCUUAAGAUGAGGGUCAUUAGUAAUAGUUUUAUCCUUUUGUUAUUGUAGCAAAGUUCGUGGCACCAUCAAAGAUAUGGAACAAACGCGCAGCUAUAUGAUUGCAAGUUGAAAUGGCGGCAUCAGUUGUCGUCAGCUCUACAGUCAGUAAUGCACAGGUAAAAUGAAUGCAAGUAUUAGCCAUACUUUACAAAGUACGUAUCAUUUCCAAUCAUCCGUAUAUCUCUAGUUGCGGGCUGUUCGAGUAACACAUACAUGUGAUGUAAGUAAUGAGUUCUGAAUGUAUAUAAGAUGAAUACUUCAGAGUGAGAUCCAUAUGACUUGAUUGUUGCCUUCAAUAUUCAAAACCUUAAAUUCCCGAUGAUACUUUAAUCCCUUCCGUCUAUAGUAUCUCAGCCAGUUUUCUAGCAAAACAACCUGAACAUGAAAAAAAA